rnacentral:lncRNA from 10 species
AGGUCCCCUUUCUGCAACAGAGAGCUUUCUUCAUUCACUUAUUAAACUUUCACUCCGACCUCACCCUUUGGGUCCAUACUCCUUAAUUCUCUUGGUCUUGGGUGAUACCUCACAAGGAGAGACUGCUACAUUGUGGUGCAUUGGUGAGACUGUAACAGACUCCUUUCCAAGUGUUUGGUGUCUGAGUUUUCAGAAGGUUUGACAUGCAUUUCUUCAUUUAAUGCUUAGAACAGACCACCACCAAUAAUAACAACUCCACAUCUUAUUUUUCAGAUGGGGAAACUAUGAUUCAGAAUGAUAACAAUUAAUACAAAGCUGAAGCAAGAUUCAAAUCCAAGUCUUCUGACUUGAAAUCCUACUUUCUUGCCACUUUUUAAACUAUUUAUCUGAUGUUGGCAAUUCAUGGCAAUCAGAGGAUGGAUGAAGGGCUCUGGAGGUUUUGGUUACAGUCAGGGAGCAUUAGAAAGAACAAGUGUGCUUAGAUGAGGCGGGAAAGCCCAGGUACAUGAAGGAAAAGAAUAAUUUGCCUAAGUUGCCUAGUUUAAAAUCAUUUUUAAUUGGAAAGGUAUUUUUAUCUUCAUUUACAGAUGUGGAAACUAAGAUUCAGAAUGAUUAUUCAAAAAUCACAUAGCUAGUGGCAACCUCAAGGAUUGAAACCAGGUGUGUCUAUCUCUAAAUAUAGUGAUAAAAAGCAUGCAUUUUGGGUUGAACUCUGCUCUCCACAUAGAUCUUGGUCCAGCCCGCCCCCUAACCCUGGUGUCCUCAUGUGAAAUGAGGCUAAUAAUUGCCAGGCCUCUGAGCCCAAGCCAAGCCAUCACAUCCCCUGUGACUUGCACAUAUACGCCCAGAUGGCCUGAAGUAACUGAAGAAUCACAAAAGAAGUGAAUAUGCCCUGCCCCACCUUAACUGAUGACAUUCCACCACAAAAGAAGUGUAAAUGGCCAGUCCUUGCCUUAAGUGAUGACAUUACCUUGUGAAAGUCCUUUUCCUGGCUCAUCCUGGCUCAAAAAGCACCCCCACUGAGCACCUUGCGACCCCCACUCCUGCCUGCCAGAGAACAACCCCCCUUUGACUGUAAUUUUCCCUUACCUACCCAAAUCCUAUAAAUUGCCCCACCCCUAUCUCCCUUUGCUGACUCUCUUUUCAGACUCAGCCCACCUGCACCCAGGUGAUUAAAAGCUUUAUUGCUCACACAAAGCCUGUUUGGUGGUCUCUUCACACGGACACACAUGAAAUUUGGUGCCGUGACUCGGAUCGGGGGUCCUCCCUUGGGAGAUCAAUCCCCUGUCCUCCUGUUCUUUGCUCCGUGAGAAAGAUCCACCUACGACCUCAGGUCCUCAGACCGACCAGCCCAACGAACAUCUCACCAAUUUUAAAUCAGGACCUACCAGUCUGCCCUGCUCAUACUUGAUCUGGAUGAGACUGAUACCCUGCGAGACGCAACAGAAUCAGCUCCUGGGAUUGUGUUAGCAGAAUGACGGGAGUGUGAGAUCCACCACAUGGCGAGGCACCCCAGGAACCUGUUUUCUUCUUGAAGAGCAACCGAGAACUAUUUCCAAGUUAUCCUUCACUUUGAGCCAGGCAAUGGUCAGGUGGAGUAAAACAUAAGGAAGAACAUCUUUUUGGUUCAAAGCAUGAAAAAAAUUGGGACAGCAUGGAGGUGUCUGAUUUCUGCUUGGGCUGAGGAUUCAGGAGAAGAUGUGUGGAACACAGCCUGGACAUGCCCCAACCUGGUUGAUGAAUUCCACCCCAAGUAGUGGAAGAAACACACCUACAACAUGAGCAGAGAAGAUUUUUCUUCUGUACUUUCCAGGACUUGAAGCUGCUUUGUUUUUUGGUCGCUGGGUGGGGAAGGAGGAACAAUAGUAUAGCUUCCAGAAGAGAGAAGAGAGAUAUCUCUUGAGUGUGAAUUAAGCAGUACCAAGAGGCCUCAAGCUAGCUCUCUCUCCUGCUUUAAAUUCUACUGUUAAGAGUUUUUCUUUAAGUUUAAAACCUUGAAAGCUCCAUGAUGCUCCUGAGUAGAACAAUAAAGCCAUUAGUAGUCAAUGGCCGUCUUUAAUAUUUUUCUUCCAUUUCAAUUUUAGUUCUAAUUUUAUCUGACUCCUAAAAAUAUGUUUCAUAUUCUCAUGAGGGCUGGGCCCAUAUGUGUAAAUGGUUGAAACAUCUUACUUUGUUGACUGAACUAGUCUAAAUAGUCAGUCAAAUUUUUUUUUUAGGCAAAAGUGAAUUUCAUCAAAUUGGUUGGCCCACAAUUUCUUAAAUUCAUCAUUGAUUGAUUAUCUGUGAUGUGCCAAUCCCUGUGCAAGUUCCUAGGGCAACAGAAGUAAAAAUCCAUAAUCUCUGUUUCCAGGACUCUAUCAGUUUGAUAGGGACACAGGCACAUAAGCAGACAAUCAUAAUGCAGUGGUAGUAGGGAUAUGCCACUCUCAUCCAGGCAGUGUAUUGAUGACCAUGUCCUUGAGUUCCCAAGUACAUUGAAAAAGGUGUAAUAAGGAGAUGCUAAAUUAGCAGGUAGUACUUAUAUGAAGUUCUACUGUGUCUACUCCUGUGCCAGGUGUUUCGGUUGGGAAUGAGUAUUGGGUAAGAGGAGAAUAGAAGAUGGAAAGGCAGAAAACACCAACUCAGCUGAUAUGGUUGGGAUGUUUGUCUCCUCUAAACCUCACAUUGAAAUGUAAUCCCCAGUGUUAGAGGUGGGGCCUAGUGAAAGGUAUUGGAUGAGGGGAGUGGAUCCUUCAUGAAUGGCUUAGUGUCAUCCCCUUGGUGAUGAGUGAGUUCUCGUUCUGUUAGUUUACACAAGAUCUGGUUACUUAAAAGGGUGUGGAACCUCCCCCUCCUCUCUCUUACUCCCUCUCACCAUGUGACAUGUUGGCUCCCCUUCCCCCUCAUCAUGACUGUAAGCUUCCUGAAGCCCUUUCCAGAAGCAGAAACCGGCACCAUGCUUCAUGUACAGUCUGCAGAACCGUGAGCCAAUUAAACCUCUUUCCUUCAUAAAGCACACAGCUUCAGAUAUCUCUUUGUAACAAAGCAAAAACUGACUAACACAUCACCCAUUAAAGAGUUUACAAUUUAUUUAGAGGAAAUAAGAUGGAAGUGUAGGGAGUUAUUAGAAAGCAAGACAACCUACAAAUCUGUAAAGUAUAAGCAUCAAACUUUGUGAACAAAGAGUAUGAUGUAGGUAUUGAGAAAAGAAAAAGUGGGAUAUAGGGUGGAACAGUCUCAGAAAAGUCCUCCCAAAGGACACAGGUAAGAGAAAGACAUGGAAGAACUGGUCCAACUUACAUUGGUAGAAUCAGAGGGCUUAGGUCUUUUUUUUUUUUUUUUCUUUUUUUUUUUGAGACAGUUUCACUCUUGCUGCCCAGGCUGGAGUGCAAUGGCACAAUCUUGGCUCACUGCAACCUCUGCCUCCCGGGUUCAAGUGAUUCUCCUGCCUCGCCUCCCAAGUAGCUGGGAUUACAGGCGCCCGCAACUACGCCUGGCUAAUUUUCGUAUUUUUAGUAGAGAUGGGGUUUCACCACGUUGGCCAGGGUGCUCUUGAACUCCUGACAUCAGGUGAUCUGCCCUCCUUGGCCUCCCAAAGUGCUGGGACUACAGGCAUGAGCCACUGUGCCUGGCUGGGCCUAGGUCUUCUAAGCAGUGGAAAUGGCAGAGGCAAGUGUCCAGAGCUGGGAAUAAGGGGAUGUUAUGUGGGUAUCAUAGGGAUGGGGGCAGGGGACUUCACAAUAAGACACCAGCCAGUCUAAAGUUGAGUUUGUGUAGGAUUUUUUACUCAUAUAUUAUUGAGGGCCAUGCAUUGAACUACAUAUUAUGGAUAAAUAAUUAAUACAUUCCUGCCAUCUUGAAGUUUAUAAUCUAGUCCUACAAAGAAACUUAUCAGAGAGGUUUCUCUGAGGCUUAGUGUGUUGCGGUCUAUGCCUUUUCAUUUCAUCCUUCAAAUACUGUCUACUCAAUGAAAUUUACCUGGCCUGUUCAGCCAAAAUAAUUUAUAAAGGCAAUAAUAGCUAACAUUAUUAACACUCUCCUAGACCAGUGUACUGUACUAACUACUUUGCAUGCCUUAUUCAUAAUAAGUUAAGGUCUCUUAUAUUUUUCAGUGUACUAUGCACCAUGUUAUGGUCUUUACAAAGAUUACAUAGUGUAAUCUUUACACUAAACUUUGCAAGGGUGUACUACUAUUAUCCCCAUUGUCUCUAUGAGAAAGCUGAGGCUCUGCAAGGUUAAAUGAUUUCCCCAAGGUUCUCUUAAACUUCGUAGGGGAAGAUGGAGGAUGCUUAGAGAGUGGUAUGAACAACAUUGUGUGCCUCCUGAUGUGAUACAAUGUGCAGCACAUAGCACCGCUUUUGAAGUACUGCAUGCUUGCCAAAAGAAAAAUUGAACAUAAACUUUCAAGUUUAUUGAAAAUGGAGGGUCCAGGAGUAGUGACUCAUGUCUAUAAUCCCAGAACUUUGGGAGGCCAAGCCAGGCUGAUCACUUGGGCCAGGAGUUCAAGAGCAGCCUAGCCAACAUGGUGAAACCCUGUCUCUACUAAAAAUAUAAAAAUUAGCUGGGCAUGGUGGCUCAUGCCUGUAAUCCCAGCUACUUGGGAGGCUGAGACAUGAGAAUCACUUGAGCCUGGGAGGUGGAGGCUGCAGUGAGCUGAGAUCACGCCAUUGCACUCCAGCCUGGGCAACAGAGCAAGACUCUAUCUCAGAAAAGAAAAAAAAAUGAGAAAAGAAAAUGGAGGGAUAAAGGAUUAAGAUAAAUGAUGCCACAAAGAAGUAAACAGAAAAAUUUAGAAUUUUGGAGUGCAGGGACUGCAGGACAACUGACCAAAUUUCUUCAACAUGUCAAAUAUAUGUGUGUUUGUGUGUGUUUAUUCUAUAAAUAUAAUAAAAAUAUUUUUAUAUAAAAGUAUAUUAUAUAUAAAAGAAAAUUUGGAUUGGAUUAAUGUAAUGUUUACAGUUAUGGUAAUGGCUAUGUUAAUGUAAUGUAAUGUUAGGCCUUGUUUAGUUCCUGAUUUGAACGAACUAAUUUUUAAAAAGGCAUUUUUUUAAUAAGUAGGAAAAUUUGAAUAUGGACUGGUUAUUGGAGGGUACAGGGAAAUAUUCUCAAUUUUCUUGGGUGUGAUCAUGGCACUGUAGUUAUGGGAGAAAAUGCUAAUAUUUUUUAGAGAUAUGCACAAAUGUGUUGGGAAGUCACAUCAAAUGUGGGAUUUGCUUAAAAAUAUUUAGCAACAAUAACUACAACAGAAAAGAAUAAGUGAUGCAAACAUGAUGAAUGCUUGCUAAUUGUUAAAGCUGGGUGAUGACUACAUAAAGGAUCAUUGUAUUAGUCUCUCAAUCUUCCUGUGUUUGAAAUUGUUUUAAAUAAAGAUUCAUUUAAAAUGCAUGGCUUAAAAUAGCCAAUGAGGCUGAAAACAGAUUCUCUUGUACCACUGAGCCCAGUUCUAUGCACACAGUAGGUGCUUAAUAGGUGUAUUAUGAAUUACUAGAAUUGGAGCAUGGAAAACAGCUACAGGAUGAAUGAAAAUCACCCUGUUCU